GGUCAGAACUUAAAAAAAGCAGCAGCAUGUGCAGGGGCCAAGCAGACUCCCAGACUCUGAUCCAUAUUGAUCGUUUGGAUUGAAUUUUCUACAGGUGGGUCUGAAGAUGAUUUACACCAGGAUUUGGAGUUGAGUGGAAAUCAUUUGUAGGAAGAGCAGGACCUUGAGUUUCAGAUGUUGGUGCAUUCACUUCAGCUUUCUCCAGGACAUGGUAGUGGUCACAGUUCUUGACCACAAUGUGGUCACUAAACGUUUUAGAUGAUGUGAGCCAGAUUUGAUGAUGAUCGGACAAAAUGUGGAGGAGUUACAGCAAAAACAGCACUUUCAAGACACUGAUGACGAACAUAAAAAGGUGUGAGAGGAGGAACAGGAGAGAUGUGUGUAGAGACAAAGACCUGAAUGAGAAACCUUAAACCUCUGAGUGCUGAUGUGGAGAGACGUCGUCAUACCGUGAGUCUUCUUCUCGCUUUAUUCUGUUUAUUCAUCUACAGAAGUGUUUCCUCAGCAUUACACCGCUGUUUGUGUCGCAGACAGUAAGAGUUUAGGAUAAAUAUGAGAAGUUGUGUGUGUAUGUGUGUGUGUGUGUGUGUGUGUGUGUGUGUG